GUGGGGCAGGCACUGAUCUCUUCCAUGUGGUGACCAGCAGUACCACCUGAGGGAACAGCAUGAAGCUGUGUCAGGGGAGAUUUCUCUCUACACCCCAAUAGCAUUGUCCCAACCUUGAGUUUGGGAAAAGAGAGGAGGGCAGAAGCUGGAGAAUGACUGUGCAUACCAAGGAGCGACAUUUCCUGCAGGAGAUAUCCCACCCUCAUUGUCUCUUCUCAUUAAACACUGUGCCUGGAAGGCCAACAGCA